UACAGAGGUCUCAAGCGUUGUUCGGAUUCAUUGGGCGUAAAGGGUGCGUAGGCGGCGCGGUAAGUCGGGUGUGAAAUCUCGGAGCUUAACUCCGAAACUGCAUUCGAUACUGCCGUGCUUGAGGACUGGAGAGGAGACUGGAAUUUACGGUGUAGCGGUGAAAUGCGUAGAUAUCGUAAGGAAGACCAGUGGCGAAGGCGGGUCUCUGGACAUUUCCUGACGCUGAGGCACGAAGGCCAGGGGAGCAAACGGG
rnacentral:rRNA from 1 species